GACGAACGCUGGCGGCGUGCCUAAUACAUGCGAGUUGAGCGCUGAAGGUUGGUACUUGUACCAACUGGAUGAGCAGCGAACGGGUGAGUAACGCGUGGGGAAUCUGCCUUUGAGCGGGGGACAACAUUUGGAAACGAAUGCUAAUACCGCAUAAAAACUUUAAACACAAGUUUUAAGUUUGAAAGAUGCAAUUGCAUCACUCAAAGAUGAUCCCGCGUUGUAUUAGCUAGUUGGUGAGGUAAAGGCUCACCAAGGCGAUGAUACAUAGCCGACCUGAGAGGGUGAUCGGCCACAUUGGGACUGAGACACGGCCCAAACUCCUACGGGAGGCAGCAGUAGGGAAUCUUCGGCAAUGGACGAAAGUCUGACCGAGCAACGCCGCGUGAGUGAAGAAGGUUUUCGGAUCGUAAAACUCGGUUGGUAGAGAAGAACGUUGGUGAGAGUGGAAAGCUCAUCAAGUGACGGUAACUACCCAGAAAGGGACGGCUAACUACGUG
rnacentral:rRNA from 1 species